rnacentral:rRNA from 1 species
GCACAGCGGUGGAUGAUGUGGAUAAUUCGAUGCAACGCGAAAACCUUACCUACGCUUGACAUGCCAGGAACUUUCCAGAGAUGGAUUGGUGCCCGAAAGGGAACCUGGACACAGGUGCUGCAUGGCUGUCGUCAGCUCGUGUCGUGAGAUGUUGGGUUAAGUCCCGCAACGAGCGCAACCCUUGUCAUUAGUUGCCAUCAUUUGGUUGGGCACUCUAAUGAGACUGCCGGUGACAAACCGGAGGAAGGUGGGAUGACGUCAAGUCCUCAUGGCCCUUAUGGGUAGGGCUUCACACGUCAUACAAUGGUCGGUACAGAGGGUUGCCAACCCGCGAGGGGGAGCUAAUCCCACAAAGCCGAUCGUAGUCCGGAUCGCAGUCUACAACUCGACUGCGUGAAGUCGGAAUCGCUAGUAAUCGUGAAUCAGAAUGUCACGGUGAAUACGUUCCCGGGCCUU